UGAGUAACCUGCCCUUAACUCUGGGAUAAGCCUGGGAAACUGGGUCUAAUACCGGAUAUGACUCCUCAUCGCAUGGUGGGGGGUGGAAAGCUUUAUUGUGGUUUUGGAUGGACUCGCGGCCUAUCAGCUUGUUGGUGAGGUAAUGGCUCACCAAGGCGACGACGGGUAGCCGGCCUGAGAGGGUGACCCGGCCACACUGGGACUGAGACACGGCCCAGACUCCUACGGGAGCAG
rnacentral:rRNA from 1 species